GUCUUCUCUUGCACUCGCAUCUGCAACAUCUCAAAUAUGGUUUCUCGCGUCGUGUUGGUCGUGCUGGUGGUGGUCGCCCUAGCGGCCGCGGCAAUGGCUCUCCCUGACCCCACGAAACGGCACUUGGGAUACGGCUUGUACGGAGGACACGGAGGAUACGGCCUCGGAGGAUUUGGCUUGGGAGGCUACGGAGGCUACGGAGGAUACGGCUAUGGAUCCCACUAUCCUUAUUACGGAUCCUACUACGGAUAGCUGAGUCGACGAAGUUAUGUGAACACCAGUCCAGACUUGUAUUUAUCUCUAAUAAAGCUUUAACUCUA